AGUGCUGGAAAUCAUCCUGCAAUCCACCAGCCGCAGCGCCCGCCUGGAGCCGCCUGUGCCGGCACCGAGAGGCUUUUGGAAUAUUGUAGAAGAGAGAAGGCUGAUGUCACUGUUUAACACUGGUCUCCAACUGGUCUCCAACUUGACCCCCUGCUGUUAACAGUGGCAUCUGCGAGGUGCUGGCUGUAACCGAUCUGGCCAGGAGUUGUGCCGUUCAUU
rnacentral:lncRNA from 1 species